rnacentral:lncRNA from 1 species
GGGGGUGGUGCCUUCCUUCCCGCUCGGCCCUUCCUGACGCACCCGCGGGCAGGAUGCGUCCGCCUCCCAAGACCGGCCUGGAAUCGCGGAGGGAAUCCCAGCGGUGGGAAAGCCGGCUGGGGUCGGAGCACCCCUCCCCAGUAUCCACUCCUUGUGAGACCCGGGCAUCCGAAAGUUGGACAUUACUGCCCAGCCCUCCAUGACCACCAAUGCUCCCAAGGGCCUGAAGACCCCGUGAGACGUGACCCCACUUCCUUCUCCAAUGUCACCUGACCUGCCCUACUCUGGCCACAAUGACCUGAUUUUGGUCCUCCUUGUCACCUCCAGCCACAGGACCUCUGCACC